rnacentral:rRNA from 1 species
UGGGGAAUACUGGACAAUGGGCGAAAGCCUGAUCCAGCCAUGCCGCGUGUGUGAAGAAGGCCUUUUGGUUGUAAAGCACUUUAAGUGGGGAGGAAAAGCUUAUGGUUAAUACCCAUAAGCCCUGACGUUACCCACAGAAUAAGCACCGGCUAACUCUGUGCCAGCAGCCGCGGUAAUACAGAGGGUGCAAGCGUUAAUCGGAAUUACUGGGCGUAAAGCGCGCGUAGGUGGUUAUUUAAGUCAGAUGUGAAAGCCCCGGGCUUAACCUGGGAACUGCAUCUGAUACUGGAUAACUAGAGUAGGUGAGAGGGGAGUAGAAUUCCAGGUGUAGCGGUGAAAUGCGUAGAGAUCUGGAGGAAUACCGAUGGCGAAGGCAGCUCCCUGGCAUCAUACUGACACUGAGGUGCGAAAGCGUGGGUAGCAAACAGGAUUAGAUACCCUGGUAGUCCACGCCGUAAACGAUGUCUACCAGUCGUUGGGUCUUUUAAAGACUUAGUGACGCAGUUAACGCAAUAAGUAGACCGCCUGGGGAAUACGGCCGCAAGGUUA